GGGGAUAUUAAGGGGGUGUGUCGUGCGGUCUAUCAUGCAGUCGAGCGGACCGACGGGAGCUUGCUCCCUUAGGUCAGCGGCGGACGGGUGAGUAACACGUGGGUAACCUGCCUGUAAGACUGGGAUAACUCCGGGAAACCGGGGCUAAUACCGGAUGCUUGAUUGAACCGCAUGGUUCAAUCAUAAAAGGUGGCUUUUAGCUACCACUUACAGAUGGACCCGCGGCGCAUUAGCUAGUUGGUGAGGUAACGGCUCACCAAGGCGACGAUGCGUAGCCGACCUGAGAGGGUGAUCGGCCACACUGGGACUGAGACACGGCCCAGACUCCUACGGGAGGCAGCAGUAGGGAAUCUUCCGCAAUGGACGAAAGUCUGACGGAGCAACGCCGCGUGAGUGAUGAAGGUUUUCGGAUCGUAAAACUCUGUUGUUAGGGAAGAACAAGUACCGUUCGAAUAGGGCGGCACCUUGACGGUACCUAACCAGAAAGCCACGGCUAACUACGUGCCAGCAGCCGCGGUAAUACGUAGGUGGCAAGCGUUGUCCGGAAUUAUUGGGCGUAAAGCGCGCGCAGGCGGUUUCUUAAGUCUGAUGUGAAAGCCCCCGGCUCAACCGGGGAGGGUCAUUGGAAACUGGGGAACUUGAGUGCAGAAGAGGAGAGUGGAAUUCCACGUGUAGCGGUGAAAUGCGUAGAGAUGUGGAGGAACACCAGUGGCGAAGGCGACUCUCUGGUCUGUAACUGACGCUGAGGCGCGAAAGCGUGGGGAGCGAACAGGAUUAGAUACCCUGGUAGUCCACGCCGUAAACGAUGAGUGCUAAGUGUUAGAGGGUUUCCGCCCUUUAGUGCUGCAGCAAACGCAUUAAGCACUCCGCCUGGGGAGUACGGUCGCAAGACUGAAACUCAAAGGAAUUGACGGGGGCCCGCACAAGCGGUGGAGCAUGUGGUUUAAUUCGAAGCAACGCGAAGAACCUUACCAGUCUUGACAUCCUCUGACAACCCUAGAGAUAGGGCUUCCCCUUCC
rnacentral:rRNA from 1 species